AUAUAUGUAUGUAUAAAAUUAAGGUCUGACUUUCCAAAAUAAUUCAAUUACACUUUUAAUUCUACGUCCUUUAAUUAUAUACUUCUCAAGGUUUAAAAUCAAUACUAUACAUGGUACCUAAUUUAUCUAAAAUUCUUUCUAUAGAUCCAUGUAUAUUAAGGUUCUCAACUUAUUUAUAUUGCAGUAGUUAUAAUUUACUUUAAUCUAUUAAACCGCUUUAAUUAUUAUUAAUGUUUAUGAAAUAUAUUAGGUAAAUAUAUUGGGAAAAUACCCAGAAUUAGAUUGUCUAGCCAUUAAAUGCUAGAAAUUAAUCAAUUUUUCUGGAAAAUAACCAGAAAUUGAUUCAAUACCCAAACACAGCACUGCCGAAACUUAUUUGGCCAGAGUUUAUGGAGACAGUGGUCAGCGAAGCAAUCAGCGGCGGACAAAGGGCCAAGUUGACUGGCCUUCGGCUAGUCUUACCAGAAAACAGUCAGAAACCACGCUAACCUUCAGCGUCUCUCUGUUGCGUUACUGAAUAAGGAGAGAGAGAACGGGAGUUUUCAAGCUACUGGAGUCGAUAGACAUUGAAGAGCCGUCGCUGUUUGAGUCACAACGCUCAUUGGAGUCGCAAGCGAGGAGGUGCAUCGUCAAGUGGUGGGGGCCGGUGGCUGAGGUUGCGAGGAGCAGCGAUCGAAAACUGGAUCACAGGCUACUCGCCCAAAAGGGAAAUAGAGAAAGUGGUGGUGCGAUGAAGGCUCGAGCCUGUCUCAGGUCGAUAGAGAGAGAGAGAGAGAGAGAAUGAAUGUAAUACCCUCAAUUUCAUAGUUCUAGAAAUUCUAGUUAUGUUAUUAUUAAUAUUAUCCGGAUAGCUAGAAUGAUUGAGAUUAUUUUAAUUUUAAUACGUAGGA
rnacentral:lncRNA from 1 species